rnacentral:misc_RNA from 1 species
AACUCAUUCUUUCCUAAUUGUUUUUCAUCUUAUAUUGGUUGAGAUCUUAUCCCUCAUAAAAAGGGUUUUCAAAUCGGAUCAGUGACUGGGGGAAAGCGCCAAGUAGUUUUCGGGUUUGAUCAGCUUAUUGGGACUUUCUCAGUGUUGAAUUAAGCUUUUUGUUGAGUAAUUUACAGCUUCAGAUCGGAGGGAAAAUAUGGUCUUUGGUGGAUAUUUGAGGUUGGGAAUUGAAUGAUAGAGAUUAGGGUAUGGAAGAGGACUGUAUGUACUACUAGAGACCGGGAACUACUGAAGCACAGGAAAAAGAAAAGGAGGUUUUCGAGCUUUUCAGGUGAAAAGGGGAUCGCAUAUUUCAUCAUUUUUGUGUAGACUUUAUAGUGUAGGGAAUUUUUAUGUUAUUUGCAUUUGGAAUUGAUAUGCAAGAGGUGAUGUUUGUGAAGUUUUGGUUUUGCAGACAAGAAAAAGGAUCAGAUUACUUUGGAAAAGGGAAAUAAAUUGGUUUGACAUAGAUCUUGAAAGGCUUUUAGGGUGGUUUUUCGGGUUUUAACUCGGUCGUCUUAGAUUUAGAGUAUAUUGAAAGGAGUUUGAGAUUAUUCUGUUGAUCACAUUGGGAUAUUUGAAGUGAAGAGCUAGUUUAAUUAAGUUGGUUUUUGGACUGAUUUGAGUUAAAAGGAUUCAAUGGAGGUGCAUUGAAGCUGGAAAGUAAUGUGGGGUCAUGGUGAAUGGACAGAAGUCUAGUUGCUUGUUACUGGAACACUGCUGUGAGAAAAU